GAUGAUGUGGUUCAGUGGUAGAGUGCUUGCCUAGCAUGCAAGAGGCUUAGGUUAAAUCCCUGCAUUACUG
rnacentral:tRNA from 1 species